GUCGGUAGCUCGACUGGAAAGAGCGGCGGACUACCAAUCUGGAGGCCGCAGGUUCGAGUCCCACCAGCGUCG
rnacentral:tRNA from 1 species